GUAGAGACUCUUGGCCAGGCUGGUCUGAACUCCUGACUUCAUGAUUUGCCCGCCUUGGCCUUCCAAAGUACUGGGAUUACAGGCGUGAACCACCGCACCCAGCCUAAAGUGAAUUGUUAAUAGAUGAAAUUAAAGUCUUUCUGAAGUAAACUUUUCUCUUGGCAGUUAAUUUUUGAAUUCUUGAUCUUUGUUUUAUGUUGAAGCAGAAAAUGUGAUGAAAAUUGAUGCUUACCACCACACCAAAGAAUCUGAAGGCAAGUUGAGCUUGUAUAUGCAAGGGAAACAGAUACAGGAAAAUGUGGAAGAAUAAAAGCAGUUUUCAAAUGUCCUAUUUGUAAAAUCUACUUGAAGCACAAAAAAAGAUAAGCCAUUUUAUACUUUAAAAUUGUAAAGGGUUUGAUAGAUUGAAACUAUUUGCUACAAAUGAAAAUUUGUCAUUAAAAAAUACUUAAUGACAUUAAGAUUCCACUGAAAAUGUCCAGUUACAAAUUGGGAAAUAUUAGUUUUGAAAAUUUGCACCUAAUUUUGGAGGGUCAGAGGGUAAGCAGAAGACCUCCAGAGGAUACUAUUGAAGGCUUAUGCUCUGUAUCAGGCAAAUUACAUUUUCUAUAAGUUAAAUUUUUUUUUUUCAGUAUUUCUAUAUAAUGUAGAUUCCUUAACACAUUAUACUAAAAUGGUAUUUAUAGGAACAUGCUGUAAUAAUUGAUUAGAUGAAAUUGUGUUAAACUUCUUGGAUAAAUUGUAAAAUAGGUUGUAAGGUGGUAAUUCAUCCUGUUUUUCCAUUGGUUUCCGGUCGUUACUACCAAAAAGCAGAAAAAGAUUGCCUUAAUGUUUUCGUGCCAUAUACAUUUGGUAUUUAAUAAUGUUACUUGUUCAAGGUUAUUAAUAAAGCUUAAAUUCUUUUCAGUUUAGAUUGAAAUUUAUUAUUCAUGGAGCACUCAGAAUCAAUUGAGUAACAUAAAUUUUUACUAACAGAUAGUUAGAAUAUAAACUGUACUAUGUAUAUUUAAAGGUGCUUUCGUUAAUAGGGAUUUUCGUGAUACAGGUUGAGUAUCCGUUAUAGGAAAUACUUGGGACCAGAAGUGUUUGGGAUUUUUGAUUUUCUUUCUUUCUUUCUUUUUUGAUUUUGGAAUAUUUGCAUAUACGUAAUAGAUGUCUUGGGAUGGCACCUAAAUGUAAACAUGAAAUUCAGUUUUAUUUCAUGUACAUUUUAUGCACAGAGCCUGAAGAUAAUUUUAUACAGUAUUUUAAAUAAUUUUUAUGAGUGAAACAAACUGUAUACAUUGAAUCAGAAAGCAAAGAUGUCAUGUGUGAUUUUCCACAUGUGGUGUCAUGGUGUUAAUAAAUCCAGAUUUUGGAGCAUUUCAGAUUUCAUAGUUUUGGGUUGGGGAUGCUCAACCUGUAUCUAAGUAAAUAGAUACAAAAAGGUAAAUGUGUAAUGACACAAAGUCCCUGCGUGUCAGAUUAGUUUUUUGUUAUUUAUUUAUCAUCAGCUAUUGAAAAGAGCUUUGAAGAUUUCCAAGCAUCCAUGAGCAACAUAAUGUCUAGAAAAAUGGAGAGUUAUAUAUGUGAGACAUUAGCACAGAGAAUGGAGGGAAGUUUCUGUAUAACUUCUAAUUAGCUUAUUUUCAGAUUUCAUAGACUGCUAGGUUAUUUGUAGACAUUUCAAAAUACAUUUACUUGAAAUGUUCAGGCAAUAUAUACUCUGGUUUUAGGAAGUGCCUUUUGUCAGUUUGGAAAAAUAUUAAUGUACUUAGACAUAAUUUAAAUGUGUUGAGUCAAAUUGAGCCUUUCUUUGAUAUGGGAAAUUGCCUUAGGGUUACCAUCACACACAUCAUUUAACAUUAUACUGUAUAGUGUAGUUCCAGAACUAUACUGUCCACUUUGAUACCAUCACCUACAUGUGGUUAUUAAGUGCUUAAACUGAAUUGAGAUGUGUUGUUAACUGUAAAAUUUACACCAGCGUUUGAAAUUUUGGUAUGAACAAAAUAGCUUAAAUAUCUUAAUAGUUUUGAUAUACUAUAUGUGUUCAAAUAGUAUUUUGCAGAUAGUGAGUUAAGUAAAAUAUCAAAAUUAAUUUGACCUUUUAUUAAAAACUUUUUUUUCAGUAUGGCUGCUUAAAAGUUUAAAAUUACUUAUGGCUCAUAUAUAUUAUAUUUCUACUGGACAACGUCUUAUCCGGAAGGUUGGAUUGAAUCAGUGUAGUAAGAUAUCUGAGGGGAAAAAAAGUCUGUGAGAUCAUUGUUUUCUAAUUUGCUUUAUUCUAAUACUGGACAUGUGAAAAACUCAUUAUUUAAUGAUUCUGAUUAACAGAGAUUAUUUAGCUUUCUUUAAGAAACAGCAUAAUUGAAGUAUAAUUUGCGUAUCAAACAAUUCACCGUUUUAAAGUCUGUAAUUGAUGUAAUACAUUCACAGGGCCGUGCAGUCAAUUUUAGAACAUACUUAUCACCCUCAAAAGAAACUCUGUAUCCUUUUAGCAGUUACCCUUCAUUUCUCCCUGUGUCCCCCAGGCUUAGGCAACUACUGAUCUAUUUUUUUGUCUAUAGAUUUGCUUAUUCUGGACUUUUGUUGUAAGUAGAAUCAUGUGGUCUUUUGUGAUUGGCUUUCAUUUAGCAUAAUGUUUUCAAGGUUCAUUCCUGUUGAAGCAUGUACUGGUAGUUCCUUUUUAUUACCGAAUAACAUUCCAUUGUGUGGGUAUAUACCACAUUUUAUUUCUCUGUCACGUGGUAGACAUUGGGUGAUUUCUACUUUCUAGCUAUUAUGACUAAUGCCUCUGAACACUGGUGUGUAAGUUUUUGUGGGGCCAUAUGUUUUCAUUUUCCUGGGUGUAGAUCUAGAGUGGAAAUUGCUGGGUCAAAGCUCUAUGUUGAACUUUAUGAGGAGCUCUCAAAUUAUUUUCCAAGGUGUCUGUACCAUUUUACAUUCCCACCAGCAAUGAUGAGGAUUCCAGUUACCACAUUUCAGUAAUACUUAUUAAUGUCUUUGUGAUUAUAGCCAUCCUACUGACUGUGAAAUGGUAUCUUACUGUGAUUACUUUGCUUUUUCAUUAUUAUUUUUGCUGGGGGCAUUCUGGGAAAAACUGGAAAACCAGCUAGACAGAUUUAGUUUUUAUUAUUUGAGCAGUAGAGCUCAGUGUGGUUUGGGGAGGGUUCCCCAAUACCCUGUUAAGGGGACCAUGAGAUGAAACUAUUUUCAUAGCAAUUCUGAGAUGUUAUUUUUAUUUUUCAGUCCAAUUUUCUCAAAAAUGAGCAGUGUACUUGGCUAGAGGUUUUAAGAUGUAGGAUAUCACAACAGGUAUGAAAAGCUGUCUUCUAUUAUGAGACUAAAGUGAUUUCUAAAAAUGUAAAAUAAUGCCAGUCUUAUCACUGAGAAAAUUUAUUUUUCAUGAGGGUGUUAUAUUAACAUAUAAUGUAUUAUUUUUAAAUGAAUUUAUUUUUAAGGAUUAUUUCAUUUUAAUUUGUAAUAUUAUAAAUAUUAACAGCUGUAACCUAAAUAAAAAAAACUCUUUGGAGUUCAGAAGUUGUAAAAUGGUGUCCUGAGAGCAAAAAUUUCUGUGGUGGCGUAUUUAAUAGAUUAAGUGUGUACUUAAAAUAUUGGGUAGUAGCUCCGCUAAGUUGCCAUUACCUCUUGCCUAGAAACUGCAGUAGCCUACUGGUCGGUCACCUAACUUUUCUAUAACUCUCCCACCAGCCAUUCCAAGAGUGAUCUCUGAAAAAUGUUAGUCAGAGCAUGCCAUCCUCUGUGUAAAGCUAAUGACUCCCUAUUGGUCUCAGAAUAUAUGGUGGGUUAGUGAGGCUCUAUGUAAUACUGUUCUCUGCCCUCACCAUUCUCUGGAUGCCUGCUUUCUUUGCUUGCUUGGCUCACUUGACCUGUUAAUACAUCAUUUUUUUCCUGCCUCAGGAAUUUUAUACAAUUUAUUCUUGCUACCUAGAAUGCAAGAACACUCUUUGCCCAUUUCUCUUCCAUCUUUAAAUCUCAAUGCAAAGGUCAGUUUCUCCAGGUAACAUCUGCUUCUGAUUGUCCAAAUUAGAUUGGGAUCCCCUGUUGCAUUUCUCACAGCAGCCUGUUUUUAGUAAGAAUUCAUCACAACUUAAAAUUGUGUAUUUAUGUGAUUCAUUCUCUUUAGAGAGGGGCUGUGAUUGUUCACCAUUGUAUUACCAGAGCCUAGGGGAUAAUAAAUUGUCUGCAGAUGAAUCUAGUCCAUUACGUACAAUAAUAUAUUCAAUAACAACUACUAAUUGUUGAACCUUUACUAAGUGUAGUAUAUACAUAAUCUCAUAGCUUCCAGCCCUCUUGUGGAAGCUUCCUCUUAAGCUGUUCUUCCUAGGUCACCACUCCGAAGUGCAACUCUUGACUACUUCAUGAUGUUCACUCUUGUUUCUCUCCCUGGAACAUUAUCCUUGUAGAACCACCUUUCUUAGCUGGAGACUGUCAUCUGAACCACAGAGCACAGAAAGUGAUUUGAAUAGCUACGCAUUUCUCUCAAAGGUGGUUCAUAAUAAAUACAAUUUUAGAUGUGUAGAAGAGAAGUUAAUUCAUUACGUCGUGAGUGGUUUGCUGGUAAGUGCUGGUUUACCAACCAGUUGUUCAGGAAAAACACUGAUUUGUAGUGUUUGCUGGAUUUCCAUGAUGUAAAUAUUCUCACUGUGGCAGAUUUCAA